CCUGGUGGCUGAGUCGGUAAAGCGUCUGCCUUCAAUGUGGGAGAUUCAGGUUCAACCCCUGGAUCAGGA
rnacentral:tRNA from 1 species